rnacentral:rRNA from 1 species
UACGGAGGGUGCGAGCGUUGUCCGGAAUCACUGGGCGUAAAGGGCGCGUAGGCGGCCUGAUAAGUAGGGGGUGAAAUCCUGCGGCUUAACCGCAGGGCUGCCUUCUAAACUGUCAGGCUAGAGCACGGUAGAGGCAGAUGGAAUUCCCGGUGUAGCGGUGGAAUGCGUAGAGAUCGGGAAGAACAUCAGUGGCGAAGGCGGUCUGCUGGGCCGUUGCUGACGCUGAGGCGCGACAGCGUGGGGAGCAAAC